AAACUGUUAAAAUCAGAUAGAAAAGGUUGAGAAGUUGAUGCUUGAGGCUAGCACAAGCCAUGCCAUUGUUUGUGAUAACCUGAAGAAGGUGUACCCAGGUAGGGAUGGGAACCCACCAAAAAUGGCAGUGCGUGGAUUAUCCCUCGCUGUGCCUUCAGGAGAAUGUUUUGGCAUGCUAGGGCCUAACGGUGCUGGCAAAACCUCCUUCAUCAAUAUGGUCAGUACCCAAAUGGGAAAAAGCUUUUCUGUUUUAGUUUAGUUUAGAUUCUAAUCUUUGUAAUUGAUGUAAUAUGUACUGUUGUCUUUUCCUGACCAGAUGACUGGACUCCUGAAACCAACAUCCGGAACAGGGCUUGUCCAAGGCUCAAUACAGUUCUUACAUUAUGGUUUCUAAUAUAAAAUGUUUCCUCUCUCUAAGCUUGUUAUAUUUGCUGCUUCCUUGCAGGACUCAAGUUCUUUCGGCUUAAUGACUACAGUCUCCAAUUUGUUUUCUAUUUUCUUUAUGUAAAUCUGCAAAUCGCCCUUUGCUUUCUAGUUUCUUCAAUAUUUUCAAAGGUCAAAACAUCGACAGGUACAAACGUAAUUCUUGAAUUCGAUCAAGAACAUGUUGGAGGGUUUAGAGGAACUAACGGGAUUCCUGUUAUGUCUAAAUUAUAGUUGUUGCUUACAUAUACGUGUUUGGAUCUGGACUUUUGGGCACGUUUCUGUUCCAGUUUCUGAUUCAAGAUUCAUCAUUUCCUAGUAAGUUAUUGAGACUAAAACUUGAAGAGCAGUAUUUAGUACACUCGUUUAUGUGUUUAUUCUCACAACUUACUACGAUUGCAAAUCAACACUACUUUUACAGGAGGCUGGAUUAUUUUCAUGGAGUUGUAUCCUGGCUUCUCCUUAUACCGUGGCCUCUAUGAGUUCGCACAAUUUGCCUUCCAAGGAAACUUGAGAGGGGCAGAUGGGAUGAAGUGGAAAGACUUCAGUGAAAGUGCAAUGGAUGAAGUUUUCUACAUCAUCAUCGUUGAGUGGUUUCUCGCACUCACUGCAGCAUACUAUAUCGAUAAGAUUGUUUCAUCCGGAAAAGACCCCAUGUUCUUCUUGAAAAAACCUUUCAAGAAAUCCCCUUCUAUGCGGAAGCCUAGUCUGCAGAGGCAAGGCUCCAAAGUCUUCGUUGAAAUGGAAAAACCAGAUGUCGCUCAGGAGGUACGAAGACAAAUGGAUUCACCAUAUAUUUCAUGUUCUUGAUUAUUCAGGCUCUAACCAAAAAAUAAAAACUGUUAAAAUCAGAUAGAAAAGGUUGAGAAGUUGAUGCUUGAGGCUAGCACAAGCCAUGCCAUUGUUUGUGAUAACCUGAAGAAGGUGUACCCAGGUAGGGAUGGGAACCCACCAAAAAUGGCAGUGCGUGGAUUAUCCCUCGCUGUGCCUUCAGGAGAAUGUUUUGGCAUGCUAGGGCCUAACGGUGCUGGCAAAACCUCCUUCAUCAAUAUGG
rnacentral:lncRNA from 1 species